UUAAGCGACUAAGCGUACACGGUGGAUGCCCUGGCAGUCAGAGGCGAUGAAGGACGUGCUAAUCUGCGAAAAGCGUCGGUAAGGUGAUAUGAACCGUUAUAACCGGCGAUGUCCGAAUGGGGAAACCCAGUGCAAUUCGUUGCACUAUCGUUAACUGAAUACAUAGGUUAACGAGGCGAACCGGGGGAACUGAAACAUCUAAGUACCCCGAGGAAAAGAAAUCAACCGAGAUUCCCCCAGUAGCGGCGAGCGAACGGGGAGCAGCCCAGAGUCUGAAUCAGCUUGUGUGUUAGUGGAACGGUCUGGAAAGUCCGACGGUACAGGGUGAUAGUCCCGUACACCAAAAUGCACAGGCUGUGAACUCGAAGAGUAGGGCGGGACACGUGGUAUCCUGUCUGAAUAUGGGGGGACCAUCCUCCAAGGCUAAAUACUCCUGACUGACCGAUAGUAAACCAGUACCGUGAGGGAAAGGCGAAAAGAACCCCGGCGAGGGGAGUGAAAAAGAACCUGAAACCGUGUACGUACAAGCAGUGGGAGCACCUUCGGGUGUGACUGCGUACCUUUUGUAUAAUGGGUCAGCGACUUAUAUUCUGUAGCAAGGUUAACCGUAUAGGGGAGCCGCAGGGAAACCGAGUCUUAACUGGGCGUUAAGUUGCAGGGUAUAGACCCGAAACCCGGUGAUCUAGCCAUGGGCAGGUUGAAGGUUGGGUAACACUAACUGGAGGACCGAACCGACUAAUGUUGAAAAAUUAGCGGAUGACUUGUGGCUGGGGGUGAAAGGCCAAUCAAACCGGGAGAUAGCUGGUUCUCCCCGAAAGCUAUUUAGGUAGCGCCUCGUGAAUUCAUCUUCGGGGGUAGAGCACUGUUUCGGCUAGGGGGUCAUCCCGACUUACCAACCCGAUGCAAACUACGAAUACCGAAGAAUGUUAUCACGGGAGACACACGGCGGGUGCUAACGUCCGUCGUGAAACAACCCAGACCGCCAGCUAAGGUCCCAAAGUCAUGGUUAAGUGGGAAACGAUGUGGGAAGGCACAGACAGCCAGGAUGUUGGCUUAGAAGCAGCCAUCAUUUAAAGAAAGCGUAAUAGCUCACUGGUCGAGUCGGCCUGCGCGGAAGAUGUAACGGGCUAAACCAUGCACCGAAGCUGCGGCAGCGACACUAUGUGUUGUUGGGUAGGGAGCGUUCUGUAAGCCUGCGAAGGUGACCUGUGAGGGUUGCUGGAGGUAUCAGAAGUGCGAAUGCUGACAUAAGUAACGAUAAAGCGGGUGAAAAGCCCGCUCGCCGGAAGACCAAGGGUUCCUGUCCAACGUUAAUCGGGGCAGGGUGAGUCGACCCCUAAGGCGAGGCCGAAAGGCGUAGUCGAUGGGAAACAGGUUAAUAUUCCUGUACUUGGUGUUACUGCGAAGGGGGGACGGAGAAGGCUAUGUUAGCCGGGCGACGGUUGUCCCGGUUUAAGCAUGUAGGCUGGUUGUCCAGGCAAAUCCGGAUAAUCAAGGCUGAGGUGUGAUGACGAGGCACUACGGUGCUGAAGUAACAAAUGCCCUGCUUCCAGGAAAAGCCUCUAAGCAUCAGGUAACAUUAAAUCGUACCCCAAACCGACACAGGUGGUCAGGUAGAGAAUACCAAGGCGCUUGAGAGAACUCGGGUGAAGGAACUAGGCAAAAUGGUGCCGUAACUUCGGGAGAAGGCACGCUGGUGUGUAGGUGAAGUCCCUGCGGAUGGAGCUGAGACCAGUCGAAGAUACCAGCUGGCUGCAACUGUUUAUUAAAAACACAGCACUGUGCAAACACGAAAGUGGACGUAUACGGUGUGACGCCUGCCCGGUGCCGGAAGGUUAAUUGAUGGGGUUAUCCGUAAGGAGAAGCUCUUGAUCGAAGCCCCGGUAAACGGCGGCCGUAACUAUAACGGUCCUAAGGUAGCGAAAUUCCUUGUCGGGUAAGUUCCGACCUGCACGAAUGGCGUAAUGAUGGCCAGGCUGUCUCCACCCGAGACUCAGUGAAAUUGAACUCGCUGUGAAGAUGCAGUGUACCCGCGGCAAGACGGAAAGACCCCGUGAACCUUUACUAUAGCUUGACACUGAACAUUGAGCCUUGAUGUGUAGGAUAGGUGGGAGGCUUUGAAGCGUGGACGCCAGUCUGCGUGGAGCCAACCUUGAAAUACCACCCUUUAAUGUUUGAUGUUCUAACGUUGGCCCCUGACCGGGGUUGCGGACAGUGUCUGGUGGGUAGUUUGACUGGGGCGGUCUCCUCCCAAAGCGUAACGGAGGAGCACGAAGGUUAGCUAAUCCUGGUCGGACAUCAGGAGGUUAGUGCAAUGGCAUAAGCUAGCUUGACUGCGAGCGUGACGGCGCGAGCAGGUGCGAAAGCAGGUCAUAGUGAUCCGGUGGUUCUGAAUGGAAGGGCCAUCGCUCAACGGAUAAAAGGUACUCCGGGGAUAACAGGCUGAUACCGCCCAAGAGUUCAUAUCGACGGCGGUGUUUGGCACCUCGAUGUCGGCUCAUCACAUCCUGGGGCUGAAGUAGGUCCCAAGGGUAUGGCUGUUCGCCAUUUAAAGUGGUACGCGAGCUGGGUUUAGAACGUCGUGAGACAGUUCGGUCCCUAUCUGCCGUGGGCGCUGGAGAAUUGAGGGGGGCUGCUCCUAGUACGAGAGGACCGGAGUGGACGCAUCACUGGUGUUCGGGUUGUCAUGCCAAUGGCACUGCCCGGUAGCUAAAUGCGGAAGAGAUAAGUGCUGAAAGCAUCUAAGCACGAAACUUGCCCCGAGAUGAGUUCUCCCUGAGACUUUAAGUCUCCUGAAGGAACGUUGAAGACGACGACGUUGAUAGGCCGGGUGUGUAAGCGCAGCGAUGCGUUGAGCUAACCGGUACUAAUGAACCGUGAGGCUUAACCU
rnacentral:rRNA from 1 species